GCAUUGUAAACGUGGUACAUCUACUAAAAUUGGAACGCUACAGAUUUGAAAAGAUUAGUCUGGCCUCUGGGGGACAUUGUAUGGCGACAUAAAUGCACUACGCAAGACAGCAGGGUUUCUGUCCAGGGCUUUUGCAAGAGAGGAUUUGAGCCUCUCAAGCCCUCACUCUAAUGGAGUUUGAUGAUGAUGAUGAUGAGUCUGGCCUCUGCGCAAGGAGGACACACAAUUUCGUGAAGCGUUCCAUAUUUUU
rnacentral:snRNA from 1 species